rnacentral:rRNA from 1 species
CACGUAGGGCGCAAGCGUUGUCCGGAAUUACUGGGCGUAAAGAGCUCGUAGGUGGUUUGUUACGUCUGCUGUGAAAUCCUAGGGCUUAACCCUGGGCUUGCAGUGGAUACGGGCAGACUAGAGGUAGGUAGGGGAGAAUGGGAUUCCUGGUGUAGCGGUGAAAUGCGCAGAUAUCAGGAGGAACACCGGUGGCGUAAACGGCUUUCUGGACCAUUACUGACGCUGAUGCACGAAAGCGUGGGUAGCAAACAGG